rnacentral:rRNA from 1 species
CACGGGGGGAGCAAGCGUUGUUCGGAAUCACUGGGCGUAAAGGGCGUGUAGGCGGCCAGGUAGGUCUGCUGUGAAAACUCGAGGCUCAACCUCGAGACGUCGGCGGAAACCAUCUGGCUAGAGUCCGGAAGAGGAGAGUGGAAUUCCUGGUGUAGCGGCGAAAUGCGCAGAUAUCAGGAAGAACACCCGUGGCGAAGGCGGCUCUCUGGGACGGUACUGACGCUGAGACGCGAAAGCGUGGGGAGCGAACGGG